GUGAUUGUAGCUCAGUUGGUAGAGCCCCGGAUUGUGAUUCCGGUUGUCGUGGGUUCGAGCCCCAUCAGUCACC
rfam:Shewanella benthica KT99 1099576005664, whole genome shotgun sequence.